rnacentral:misc_RNA from 1 species
GUAAGUAAUUCCCUACUUAAAACGGGUGAUGCGCUAAAAUUGGUGUUUCUACAUCCUCUUACCACUCAGUUGAUGCUCUCACUCCAUUUGCAGUCUUCAAAAAAAAAAAAAUUGAAGUGAGGAGACAUGGCCGAAGAUAAAAUUCCAACAACUAGUAAUAAAGUCAACCUACGCAUUCGGCACAUGGAAACUUUAAUGCCUCCCACAGAAGAAGAGAUUUUAAAUGGCGAAUUGAGAAAACUAGCGCUGAAAAAUGAUAUGUUGAAGGAAAGUAUAUCUGAAUUCUUUGCAACAUUCUUACUAGUGUUCUUGGGGGAUUGCGUCAUAGCAACUUUGAUGUUUGCCCGCGCCGACAAUGUUGGUCUGGCUGCAGCACCCCUCGGAUGGGGUUUGGCACUGAUGGUGGCUGUUGCAGUCACUGGGAGAGCUUCUGGUUGCCAUGCCAAUCCAGCUGUUACCUUGGCUUUUGCAACAGUAGGAAAAAUAAAGUUGAAUAGAGUUUUGCCUUACUUCUUGGCUCAAUACCUGGGAGCACUUACAGCUGCUGUUCUGGUGUUUGCAGUAUACUAUGAUUCUAUCGGCGACUUUGACGGAGGCGAGAGACUAGUUCCACCUCAUCUCAAUGCAACAGCACAAAUAUUUGCUACCUACCCUCCCCCGCAUGUCUCCCUGUGGGCCGCCUUCGUAGAUCAGGUAAUAGCUACAGCCAUACUACUGAUGGCCGUUGUGGCAAUAAUCGAUCCAAAAAAUCUAUCCACACACAAGGGUCUUUAUCCGUUACUUAUCGGUCUUGCGUUGGGAGCUAUUGUAUAUGCGUUACCAUACAACUGCAUGGCUCCUCUCAACCCUGCCAGAGAUUUGUCUCCAAGACUCUUCACUCUGAUGGCUGGAUAUGGAUUGGAGGUCUUCAGUGAGAGAAACCUCUGAAGAGAGCGAGAAUCUUGAUGAAGAUCCUAAAGAACCAUUGAUCCACAUCGAACGAUGAAAUUUGCUGAAAGACUGCAGCACCACAGGAGCAAGUUCAUGAAUGACUGCUGAUAAGGAAGAAUAUAUUGAAAGAACUUCUCUAAAUUCAAGUUUUCAAACAAAUUCUUCAACUUUGCGUUUAUUUCGAUUUUUUAACUGUUUACAUUUUAA